GUACCAUAGCACAGUGGUGGGACAUCUGCUUUGCAUGCAGAAGGUCCCAGGUUCAAUCCCCAACAUCUCCA